GAUGAACGCUGGCGGCGUGCCUAAUACAUGCAAGUCGAGCGAACAGAUAAGGAGCUUGCUCCUUUGACGUUAGCGGCGGACGGGUGAGUAACACGUGGGUAACCUACCUAUAAGACUGGAAUAACUCCGGGAAACCGGGGCUAAUGCCGGAUAACAUUUAGAACCGCAUAGUUCUAAAGUGAAAGAUGGUUUUGCUAUCACUUAUAGAUGGACCCGCGCCGUAUUAGCUAGUUGGUAAGGUAACGGCUUACCAAGGCAACGAUACGUAGCCGACCUGAGAGGGUGAUCGGCCACACUGGAACUGAGACACGGUCCAGACUCCUACGGGAGGCAGCAGUAGGGAAUCUUCCGCAAUGGGCGAAAGCCUGACGGAGCAACGCCGCGUGAGUGAUGAAGGUCUUCGGAUCGUAAAACUCUGUUAUUAGGGAAGAACAAAUGUGUAAGUAACUGUGCACGUCUUGACGGUACCUAAUCAGAAAGCCACGGCUAACUACGUG
rnacentral:rRNA from 1 species